AUCUCUUUGGAGACAUCCGAUUAAAUUGGAACAAUAAAAAGAAGAUUAGUAUGACCCCUACGUAAAGAUUACACACAUAAAAUCUAAGUGUGGAAUAUUAUU